rnacentral:tRNA from 10 species
GGGCUAUUAGCUCAGGUGGUUAGAGCGCACCCCUGAUAAGGGUGAGGUCCCUGGUUCGAAUCCAGGAUGGCCCA